GGACAGUGGCGGACGGGUGAGUAACGCGUGAGGAACCUGCCUUUUCAGAGGGGGACAACAGUUGGAAACGACUGCUAAUACCGCAUAAUGCAUUUGUAUCGCAUGGUACGAAUGCCAAAGAUUUAUCGCUGAAAGAUGGCCUCGCGUCUGAUUAGCUAGUUGGUGAGGUAACGGCCCACCAAGGCGACGAUCAGUAGCCGGACUGAGAGGUUGAACGGCCACAUUGGGACUGAGAUACGGCCCAGACUCCUACGGGAGGCAGCAGUGGGGAAUAUUGGGCAAUGGGCGCAAGCCUGACCCAGCAACGCCGCGUGAAGGAAGAAGGCUUUCGGGUUGUAAACUUCUUUUAAGAGGGAAGAGCAGAAGACGGUACCUCUAGAAUAAGCCACGGCUAACUACGCGCCAGCAGCCGCGGUAAUACGUAGGUGGCAAGCGUUGUCCGGAUUUACUGGGUGUAAAGGGCGUGCAGCCGGGAGAGCAAGUCAGGUGUGAAAUCCAUGGGCUUAACCCAUGAAUUGCAUUUGAAACUGUUUUUCUUGAGUACUGGAGGGGCAAUCGGAAUUCCUAGUGUAGCGGUGAAAUGCGUAGAUAUUAGGAGGAACACCAGUGGCGAAGGCGGAUUGCUGGACAGCAACUGACGGUGAGGCGCGAAAGUGUGGGGAGCAAACAGGAUUAGAUACCCUGGUAGUCCACACUGUAAACGAUGAAUACUAGGGUGUGCGGGGACUGACCCCCUGCGUGCCGCAGUUAACACAAUAAGUAUUCCACCUGGGGAGUACGAUCGCAAGGUUGAAACUCAAAGGAAUUGACGGGGGCCCGCACAAGCGGUGGAUUAUGUGGUUUAAUUCGAAGCAACGCGAAGAACCUUACCAGGGUUUGACAUCCUGCUAACGAAGUAGAGAUACAUUAGGUGCCCUUCGGGGAAAGCAGAGACAGGUGGUGCAUGGUUGUCGUCAGCUCGUGUCGUGAGAUGUUGGGUUAAGUCCCGCAACGAGCGCAACCCCUAUUGUUAGUUGCUACGCAAGAGCACUCUAGCGAGACUGCCGUUGACAAAACGGAGGAAGGUGGGGACGACGUCAAAUCAUCAUGCCCCUUAUAUCCUGGGCUACACACGUAAUACAAUGGCGGUCAACAGAGGGAGGCAAAGCCGCGAGGCAGAGCGAACCCCUAAAAGCCGUCCCAGUUCGGAUAGCAGGCUGCAACCCGCCUGCGUGAAGUCGGAAUCGCUAGUAAUCGCGGAUCAGCAUGCCGCGGGGAAUACAAACCCGGGCCUUGUACA
rnacentral:rRNA from 1 species